rnacentral:lncRNA from 1 species
ACGUGUUUACUCCGCUGCUACCUUUGAAAGGAGUGGUGCCGGCACCCCCAUGUACUGACUGGGGUUGGUUGAGAGUCCUCACACCACAGGGUGGGAGGGAACAGGCCUGAGCUCUGGUGUGCAGCACAUGCUGAUGCUGCAUUGAAGUGCACGGUGUGCACUUGGCCAUCUUGCUGAGUUUAGCUAAUGGGGUAUUUAUUUCACGGAGAGCUGUGUUGCACCAGAGGUUUUGCAUGCUUAUGGAGAAACCUGUCCCUGUUUAAGCCUUAUAUUUCAGUGACUUUUAACUUGGGCAGAUGUUCAUGCAUGAUUUAGUCUAUUGUUCUGACUGUUAAGUUUGCUGAAGAAUGCACAGUUGGCUUCACUGCCUCAUGAUUUGCAAACAUGGCUGCACUUGGCACAUGGUAGCAGAGCACCUGAGCCUGCCCUGGCGUGGGGCUGCAGCGUCUGUGGGUUUUCCCCUCUAAUUGCUUUUUUCAGAAAUAGGCUCUGUUAGCUGCAGGUCUCAGCACUGAGCGUGCAGAGACAAUCUGUUCUGUACACGUGGUGCUUUCUGUGCUGGCAUCAGUGUGGUGUGGAGGGAGGAAACGCUUGUGAUUCACAUACCAGAGGGCUGAAGAACAGAAAGAAAGGAAAAGAUGCUUGGCUGGGAGACAGAAGAACAGGCCACUGGGAGGAGAGAAAGAAAAGAAUCUGCUACGUCUUUGAAGAGAGAUUUCCUGUGCCCUUCCUCAGAUGUCUGUGAUACUACCAAGAGGAACUGUCUUUCUGUAAGUGGAACUCUUCUUUGAAUAGCACAUUCAUAAUAUGAAUUAAUUGAAAACACUCAUAGUAGUGUGUGUGUUUGUAGAGAAGUCUGAACAGAAUUUAGUAUGCAAAAUAAUUUGUCUUAUAUUCUGAUGGUCUUAACCUCAAAUUUUGUAUGAUUUUUCAUGGCUCAUAAUUGAGAAUAAUGAUGCUCAGGGGAAACUCCUUUUAUUUUUUUUUGCUUUGGACGUUUGAAAUGCAUAGUAAACUUCUAUUCUUAGCUUAGACAGUGAUAAUAAAAGCAGUACGUGUCUCUGUCAACAUUAGUGAAAAAUAAGUCUCUGGGGAUUUCUGAAUGUUUUAUUUAAUGAUGAGAACAGUAAAUCUGUCCUGUGUGGUGUCUGAGUGAGCUGACUUAUAUCAAAACAUCAUUAUUUCAUUUUUAUACGUUACAGCAGUGUUUUCGGAAUAAGUACUGGAAUGAAAGCCAAAAGCUCCCCUCUAGAUUGCAAGAAUCGUAUUGUAGGGAUUGUUAAGGGAUUGAUUUAUAUUUUUUGGUUUAGCAAUUUUGAAGAGGAGGAAGAGGGAGAGCCUUGAUCUGCUUGCUUAGCUUGGUUUGGCAGUUUAAUCAUGGUAGUGCAGCCAUCAAACCUGUGCACUUAUCUGGGUGAUUGAAGAUGAGCACCCCGUGAGAUCUUGAUUUGCAUCUAUACCCUUAAUUACUAUCAGAUUGCAGAAGUAAGGACUUACUAGAAUUACUGAAGAGUAGUGCAUUUGUUUCUUCAGAAAUACGGAUUUUUAUGCUCCGGACUCUUAAUUUUAACUUAGUUGAGCCAUGAGGCUUUUUUAUAUACGUGUUGUAUUUGGCAUUUUUUCUUCAAACUUGGAAAGUGUACACACAUCCCUGAAGUCUUUAGGAUAAUAAUGAACUUUGUUGGAAGUCUCUGAAUGUGAAUUACAGCGGGUAGCUUUACGUUACAGCUAAACAGUACUGUGGAAGAUGGGUGUCUUGCUCCUGCUCCUUCCCUCCUUUGCUCUGGCACUUACCUGAGCCUAAGCUGAUGUGUCACAUCAGCAAAAAGAGGCUGUUUUGGUUUUUGUUAGGAGGUAGUUUUCUACUGUUUUGGAAGCUGAAUGUAUUUGUAAUGCAAGGAAAUAAGCGUGAGCCUGGAAAAUUGAAGAAUGGAGCAGGGGCAGGGAGAAGAAUUAAUUUCCUUUCUUUUGAGCCCUUAAAUUUCUCCUUUCUGGAAGCCAGAGAAAUGCAUCUGCUGGAUGCAGCAGGAGAUGAGAAGGGCCAACAUUUGGAAGCAGAGUGUUGGUUUAGGCAUAGCAUGAACAACAGCUACUCUGGGAGUUGCAAGGAUUGGGAUGGAAAAGGCAGAGAGGUAUGGAAGGCUGCUUGGCUCAUGAAGUCUGAGAGGGGGACUGCAUGGCCCAGGUGACAGCUGCUUGGAGCAAGCCAGAAACGGCCCCACAGUUCCCCAUCCCCUGCAUGAGGGAAGCAGCAGGAAGGCAGUUUCAAGGGAGGGAGGCUUAGGAACUGCUGUGGUGAUCAGUCAGUUUGCAGAGUAUUUGAACUGGGAAAACAAAUGGGCUGCCUGUACUAACUGUUCUCUCCUGAGAGGGAACAGUGCUGUGGUUAUAAAUGCAAGCGUAGGGAUCUAGUAGUCACAGCAGUGGUACCAAAAAGUAACAGUUGUGAAUGCUAUUACUUUUUACAUAACUCAGAUUUUAAAAUUAUCAGUGGUUUUUGGUAUACAGAAUUAGUGGCAAGUAUGGAUGGAUUAGUAUGUGAGCCUUUUAAUGCUAAAAACAGAAACUAAUGAGAUUACUGGAUCCUAUGUCACAAACCAUUGACUUUUCUCUCCCCUCCAGGAAGGAAAAAAAAAAAAAGGAAAACAACCCCCCCCUCCACUAUCUCUUAUUUGUCAUUAGGGACAAAAAAAAAAAGUCAAAGCCUUACUUACUGGUCUGAUUGCUGAUACUUAAAGUAAUUGCGUAAAUUGGGACAUCUAAGUGAUGUUUUAGGUGUAAAACUAUAAGAAGAAAUUUGUGAAAAGGAGCUUGACCUAUAAGAGACUUCAGCCUUUAUGUUUGAUGUAAAUGAAUUGAGCAAAAAAUUGGAGAGCUUGCUUUUUCUCGUACCUGCUUUACGUAAGUGUUCUUUACUGGCACCAAAACUGUAUUUUGUUCUCCUGAAUUUAUUUAAUAGCCUUUCCAGCAAUUUCAUCUGAUCAUCCACUGUUAGUUUUUUUUUUUAAAAAAGCACUAGAUUUAUUUUUAGAAGUUCAGACUCUUAGGAAUGUGACAAUAUCACAUGAGUAGGCCAGUUACUGGAGAAAGAGCCAUACACACUGCAAAAUAUGGAAUAAUGAGGCUAGGAGCCUGUGCUGUCGCCAUUCAGUUUAACAUAGCUGGAAAUAUAAGAAAGUAAGCAAAUUAUUUGAUGAGUUAGCAGUGAACCUGGCUGUAACAAUUUUACAGAAGCAAGGGCAGCCAACAGCUUGUCAGUUUGAUGGAUGGCCCCCAAAGUUUUUUUUUUAAAAGGAAAUCACUCAAAUCUAUUGCUUUCAUAGGAUUUACCAGCGUGUAUCAGUUCUCAGCUGCUGGCCUGGGAACCACCAGUGGAAUGUAAAGCCUGUCUAUCAUCUGUAAACUGAAGUAUUUUCAAUAACCGUGCAAUUCAGCAGCAGAAGAGGAGUAAUUAAAUGUCUUAUAAAAUGCUGAAGAAAACAAUUAGCAAGCAGAAAAGUUGGAGAUCAAUGUAGAAGUAUCUUCCCAGUGGUCCCCAGACUAGGCAACAUGACAGUUAUCUCCCUAACUUUUCAUAAGUGAGGCUACCCUGACUGACUUCAGUUACAAACAUCCUUGCCUGUGCUGCUGCAUCCUGCUGUGCAGAACUCGCAGUGUGUGCACUCAUGGAGUUAGGGCUGUAUUGGACCAGAGAGAUUAUCGUGUUACAAAGGAGAAAUGAAAUAAAGAUCUUACCCACGUCCUGGGCUCACAGAAGGGCUCCAAGGGGAAGGAUCUCCAGCCCUUAAAUGGGGUCUAGGAGGGGUGCAGUCAGGCUCCACCCCUUCUGGUCACUCAGGUGAAAUUGCAUUCACCUGUGCCCCUGCAGCUGACUCAACACUCGCCUCAGGUGGUCAAUCAGAGGUUCAGCCCGUGAUUCAACUGUUCCCAUACACCUAAACAGAAAUGAUUCUCUUAUCUCACAUGUGAGAAUAAAAUAUGAUACAAACUAUUCUGUGACUGAGGAAAGAUAUCUGAGUGGUGCAUAGUGAGUCAACACAUCACAAGUCCAUUUUUCCACGUCUGUAUGGGAAAGGAGGGAGGGAAAGUGAUGUUUUGAGUAGGAGGCUUCUUUCGGAUUUUUCUCUUCAUUUUAGGUGAAGUCAGUGUUCUGCAUUUGUUAAUGGCAAAAAUCAGUUCAGGAAAUGGUUCUAAUUUAAUGAAGCCUUUAUGUAAUUGAUUUUUUUCUUCUAGUAUAGAAUAUUGUUGCAAGAAUUCUUUCCUUAAACUUUUUAAUUAAGUAGAAAUAAUUACCAAUAUGUAGUCAUAUUUUUGAUGAAAUACUUGGUGUAUUCUUCCAUGUGACUUGAGUUCUAUAGAGUUCCCCUGUAAUGCUCGGAAUACAAAUAUUUCCAGAACACCAGUGAUCGCUUUUUAGUUCAGAUAACUUACUGUAAGGUGUUGGUUAAGAGGAGCAUAAGAACAAACAUAGGGGGUCAGGCUGUGCAUCCAUUUACCUUAGCAACCCUCUUUAGAUCAUCGUGCUCACUCAGCAUCAGAUGCUUAGAGAAGAACAUGAGAGCAGAGGAAGCAUACAUUGAUUGGUCUUUACCACUUUAUUUGCUCUAACUUUCAGCAGACUCUUGAAUCAGUGGAAACGUAUGUAUAUAACAUGCUUUAGUAGAUUAUGCUUUUGUUGAUUCAUGUAGCAAGAAAUGUUUCUAGAGUCUAGUAAUACUCUAUUCUAUGUGGCUUGUACAGAUACUGUCAUUGUUUUGAAAAUUGUAUCUAUUAUUUGCUGCCCAACUGUACUGUUAGGAGAAAAAGCAAAUGAUGAUUUCCUAUGCCUCUUUUCCAUGUUUUCCGUGAUUUUAUAGACCUUCUGUUUUUUAUCAGCUGUCUGCUUCAGAGCAAAGGGCUCUUAAUCCCUGGCAGAUACUGAAAGAACUUCCUGCUUGCCUGUUCCUGUUUCCUUCGCUGUCAUAAAUGUUCAUACAGUCACACAAAGACAGACUGAGGAAACAAUCCAUGUAAAAAAUGCUGUUCCCCAUCUGUAUGUACUUCUGACAGUUCAGCUCAGCCAGCCCAUCCCACUGUGUGGUGCAUGGGCAUGCGAUGGCAGGAACAGGAAUAAACUGUGGAGACCUCCUUAGCUAUGUGGGCUUCAGCCCUGUCUGCUCUCUGAAAACUUCUUGGUGUUGUUCUCUCACCUGGUAUUAAG